rfam:Papilio machaon contig38571, whole genome shotgun sequence.
AAUAUUUAAAUGAUGACUGCAUAGUUCACCUGAAUAUUUUUGAUGAACAAUACUUUAACGGUUUCCGCUGUCUGAUUAUAUUUU